rnacentral:rRNA from 1 species
AUUGAACGCUGGCGGCAUGCCUUACACAUGCAAGUCGAACGGCAGCACGGGAGCAAUCCUGGUGGCGAGUGGCGAACGGGUGAGUAAUGUAUCGGAACGUGCCCAGUCGUGGGGGAUAACGUAGCGAAAGCUACGCUAAUACCGCAUACGAUCUAUGGAUGAAAGCGGGGGACCGUAAGGCCUCGCGCGAUUGGAGCGGCCGAUAUCAGAUUAGGUAGUUGGUGGGGUAAAGGCCUACCAAGCCGACGAUCUGUAGCUGGUCUGAGAGGACGACCAGCCACACUGGGACUGGAACACGGCCCAGACUCCUACGGGAGGCAGCAGUGGGGAAUUUUGGACAAUGGGCGCAAGCCUGAUCCAGCAAUGCCGCGUGCAGGAUGAAGGCCUUCGGGUUGUAAACUGCUUUUGUACGGAGCGAAAAGGCUCUCUCUAAUACAGGGGGGCUCAUGACGGUACCGUAAGAAUAAGCACCGGCUAACUACGUGCCAGCCGCCGCGGUAACAC